UGGAGACCACCAGUCGUCCCUG
rnacentral:misc_RNA from 1 species